rnacentral:lncRNA from 1 species
CGCAGGUCUCCCCGCAGCCGCAGCCUCCGUUUUGGGUCCCCGGGAAGCCACAGUCGCCCCCCAGCGCCCCCAGCGGAGCCUCCCCGGGGGAAGGGGCGUGGCGCUGGGGGGGGCAGAGUCACCCCGAGGGCCGUGGGCGGUGCCCGGCUGUCCCGGGAGCGGCCGCCUCCCUUCUCGGCAGAAGCCCUCCCCGCCGGCCGAGCGGGGACGCGGGAGCUGAGGUUGGGCCGCGGGCGGAUGGAGGUCUGGGGGAGGGUCGGCCGGGAGCGCUGGCGCCAGCGGAGCUGGCUGGGAGCCUCCGAGGCUGACAGCUCUUCUGGGGCCGCCCUUGCCCCCGCGGAGUGAUUCAACCCCGGCUCGCUGCCUCUGCCUGGCGGGUCGGUGCACCCCCAGACCGAGGCCUGGGGCGUUCUGCUUCAGCAGACCGAAACCAGAAACGCAGCCCCCGCCACCCAGGCCGAGUGUGCCGAGAAGGAGCCGGCACCCUUUUCAGGGUGUCAGGGGACUGUGUGCCCGUCACUGCCCCGUUGAUCCACACACGUCACGAAUCAGUGACAGAGACUCGCUGUGGAAACCGGAGUGCGCUGGCCUGCCUGCUACCCUCCGGUGUUUGUGACUUUUUACCAGCUGUCCUGACGAAGCACAGGGUGGAGCGAGCGCUGGUGUGCUGGGUGGAUUCUCAUCCCCCGAUAGCUGGAAAGUUGCCCCUCAUGACACUGGCCACUGCAUCGACAGCCUCUGUUGCUGGGUGUUUCUUCUAAGCAAUUAAGUAGGAGAUGAUGAAACCUCUCUUCCGUGGGGGGAGGCAGGACCAGCGCCCCGUCUUUAUCAGCCAGUGGCCAUAAAUGUGGACCAUGAACUUUCCCACUUGCUGUCAGCCCGGGCAUCGCAGGUUUGCUGAGGUGCUGGAUAUUUGGAGGUGAGAGAUUUGAGGCACUCGAUUUUCUGGCAGGAACCAGCACAGGCCACGAGUCUCGGACUUCGUGCGGAGGUCUGCUGGUGUCUUCUGAGUGGGUGGAGCCAGGCGUGCCCACCAGAUGCGGGUAGCGUGUGCUAGGCCAGGACGGCUCCCCAGGCUCAAGUCGGCCUCCUCCUGGGCCGAGGAUCCCCCGAGAGGGAGGCAACGUGUCAGGACGGUGUAUGUGGAGAGAGGCUUGAGGCUCGGUGCCCGAGCACGGGCAGGAGGACAGUGGCCUCGAUGCCAGAGACCGGAGGGAGGGACGCGACGAUGAGGCUGCAUAAGAAGAGAGCUGACUGUAGCUGAGUGUGUCAGCCACUCACCACCGAGUCCAGUUUCCGCACAGCACGAUCAUCGUGCCCUUGCUCACACACGUGUUAGAUGAGCUUGUGUGAGCUUUAUGGGCUGUAAUUUGUGAGUCUGUUCUGGGUGUGUGAUCCUGGCAGCCGGCUCGGCCUGGCCGCUCGUGACCUGGGGCCUUGUGGGGGUGGGGAGAGGGUGAGGAGGGGUGCACCCUCGACACCACCCUCUGAUGUGGCCUGCAGCCUAUGAAGAGUGAGGUUUGGGGGCCCAGAGUGUGAGUCACCAGCGGUAAAUGCAAACCAUAUGUGAUGCAUUUUCUCUGCUGCAGAAAGGGUUUCUGGUGACUGGCUCAGGCCAGGGCUCUGGAAACAGCAUUGCUUAUUUCACAUAAAAAUCCUAAGAAUGUGGGUGAACCUGUCUGAGAUCUGCGUAAUAAAACACUUAGUUGAAGUCACCGGGUUAGUUCCAGGCCCACUUGCUUAUGACGUGGCUGUUAGCCACGAGCUGGCAUUUACGUUAAAGUGUUGAGAAGAAGCGUGAGGGUUUUGAUGUUUCAGUUUCUUGAAAAUAUAACUGUUUCUACUCAGGACCUGCCUCUCCAAGAGUGUAGCACACUUCAUUUUUUUCUGUUUAGCAUGUAUGAGGGUGAACUUAGCUUGCUACUCACACACUACUCACUCUGUGGAGGAAGUUUGCCUCGCUUUUGUGGUGAGUCUUGCUGUAAUGAUAGCUUAUAUUUACAAAUACCGUCAGCAGUGCAGGGUCUUCAGGCUUGCAGAAAACGGUCAAGUCAUUACUUUGAGAAAUGUACAAACAUCUAUGCUUAAUGAGGUGCUAAAAGACAAAACUCAUCUACAAUCUCCUUCCCCCCAAACUGCCAACACUUCUGAUUAAUUUAAAAUCUGCUCUAAACGACAAAACUCAUCUACAACCUCCUUCCCCCCAAACUGCCAACACUUCUGAUUAAUUUAAAAUCUGCUCUAAAAGACAAAACUCAUCUACAACCUCCUUCCCCACAAACUGCCAACACUCUGGAUUAAUUUAAAAGCUGCUCUCUGGGCAGGUUGCAUCCCAGGGCUCCUCCUUCACACAUGGUGGGGCCCCACCUUCGCUUUACCUCUAGCGUCCCAGCCCUCGUGGUCAUCUGGAACCAGGGUUGGUACACAGGGCCUGCUGGCAUUCCUAUGAUACUCCGUGAUAUUCUGGAGGAAUCCAUCCCUUCCUUGGGGCUCCAUCCCACUGCCCCAGCACCUCCAGCCACCCUGAUUCAGGGACAUCGCAGAGAUUGGUGUUUGACGCUACGGCAGCAGAGGCGCAGACUCUUGAGUGUUGGAGGGUGUCUGGAGGGCCUGGGGGCCAGCACCGCCUGCACUCCCGGGAGCUCGGCCCCGCCCCACCGUGGCUCUGAGUGUCGGAGGGCGUCUGGAGGACCUGGGGGCCAGCACCACCUGCACUCCCGGGAGCUCGGCCCCUCCCCACCGUGGCUCUGAGUGUUGGAGGGCGUCUGGAGGGCCUGGGGGCCAGCACCGCCUGCACUCCCGGGAGCUCGGCCCCUCCCCACCGUGGCUCUGAGUGUUGGAGGGCGUCUGGAGGGCCUGGGGGCCAGCACCACCUGCACUCCCGGGAGCUCUGCCCCUCCCCACCGUGGCUCUGAGUGUGGGAGGGCGUCUGGAGAGCCUGGGGGCCAGCACCGCCUGCACUCCUGGGAGCUCGGCCCUGCCCCACCAUGGCUCUUGGUGCAGGUGCACUGGAAGGAACUGG